rnacentral:miRNA from 1 species
UCUACAAGGCAUUUGUUCUCU